UACGUAGGGGGCAAGCGUUGUCCGGAUUUAUUGGGCGUAAAGAGCGUGUAGGCGGCCAGGUAGGUCCGCUGUGAAAGUCGGGGGCUCAACCCUCGAAUGCCGGUGGAUACUGGCGGGCUAGAGCACGGUAGAGGCAGAUGGAAUUCCUGGUGUAGCGGUGGAAUGCGUAGAUAUCGGGAAGAAUACCGGUGGCGAAGGCGUUCUGCUGGGCCGUUGCUGACGCUGAGGCGCGACAGCGUGGGGAGCAAACAGG
rnacentral:rRNA from 1 species